UCCUUUUUCUAAUCAGUGAAACUAAUCUUCCCGUGAAGAAGCGGGAAUAUCCCCAUAAGACGAGAAGACCCCAUGGAGCUUCAAACCCAAUUACACCCCUAACCCCUAUAACUACUUAACCCUUAGGAUUCUGUAUUAUUGGUUUUAGGUUGGGGCGACCACGGAGUACAACAAAACCUCCACAAUGAACGGAACUACUUCCUCAUCUGAGAGCUACACCUCUAAGAAUUAAAAUAUUAACAUAAAAUGAUCCAUUUUUGAUCAAUGAACCAAGUUACCCUGGGGAUAACAGCGCAAUCCAUUUCAAGAGCCCCUAUCGACAAAUGGG
rnacentral:rRNA from 1 species